rnacentral:rRNA from 1 species
GAUGAACGCUGGCGGCGUGCCUAAUACAUGCAAGUCGAGCGAACGGACGAGAAGCUUGCUUCUCUGAUGUUAGCGGCGGACGGGUGAGUAACACGUGGAUAACCUACCUAUAAGACUGGGAUAACUUCGGGAAACCGGAGCUAAUACCGGAUAAUAUUUUGAACCGCAUGGUUCAAAAGUGAGAGACGGUCUUGCUGUCACUUAUAGAUGGAUCCGCGCUGCAUUAGCUAGUUGGUAAGGUAACGGCUUACCAAGGCAACGAUGCAUAGCCGACCUGAGAGGGGGAUCGGCCACACUGGAACUGAGACACGGUCCAGACUCCUACGGGAGGCAGCAGUAGGGAAUCUUCCGCAAUGGGCGAAAGCCUGACGGGCAACGCCGCGUGAGUGAUGAAGGUCUUCGGAUCGUAAAACUCUGUUAUUAGGGAAGAACAUAUGUGUAAGUAACUGUGCACAUCUUGACGGUACCUAAUCAGAAAGCCACGGCUAACUACGUG